CUGGUCUGUAAGUACGAAGUAUGAAGUAAUUGACAGCGCUUUAAGAUAAGCAUUUGCAGUUUCCAUCGAGACAUUUCAGUCAGUGUCCAGAUGCGAACCGAUGCUUCAGUACCAGAAUGUCAAGUAUGAAAAGACAAAGUUCAUGGCAGGAAGACAUCGCCAGAAACUUUUCGAGACUAUUUUUAAGAAGCAAAUCACAAGAACCACAGAAAACAGGGAUCGAAGGAAGCGAUAUCAGCUCGCAUGUCAAAGAUGAUGAGCCCAAAAGCCCUUGUGCUGAGUCGGGAGAAGGCAGUCCCCAGCAGGAACUUGUCCUUGAAUUAUCAAAGUUUCUCCUUAAACAUCUUGUGCCUGAAGUCUCAGCCAUUGCUGGGAUUGGUACUGGAGGAUGGAGCAAAGAUGGGGUUCACCAGUGCCAUGUUCAUGGAGCUACAAAUACACUGCGCUGAGUCCACACCUGAUGAGAAGUCCUGCACAUAAUCUACAAAAUGUUCACACGUUCGAUUGUAACAUUGAAAUGGCGUGCUACUUCAAAAAAGGACCAGGAAGUAGACAUUCCACAGCCUGUGAUCUGUAUCUUUGUAGGUUAGCCCAUUAUUUUUUAACAGUUAUUUCUGCAAGGAUGUUGGAGGUAUGCUGCAUUUCCCCUUGUUGUUUUCAUUGGCCAGCUACGACCAUGUCAGAUAAUAAUAUAAUGUAUAUGUUUAAUAUUCAGAUCUAAUUGGUUUACUGUCAUACUUUAUGUUCAUGAAAUGUAUUAAUCACAGGGAGAUUUCAAAUCUACCUAUACUGAGGGGACAAAUCAGUUAGCUAGGUACCGUUUCAAAUCUAGUUGAUGGGCAGGACAGUAUAAGUAAACAGGCAGAAGACCUGGCAGAAUGUCACUAUGCCCUGUAGUUUCUAGAAAGAUCUCUGAUGUUGAUGUUCUUGAGUGGGCUUAUUCUGCUGUCUCAGUACUGUAUUGUUUUAAUUUCGUAAG